UGUAACUGGGUGAGAAAAGAGAGAUGAAAAAAGUUUAAGCAGAUGCAAAAUAUGUAGAGUAUAUGGACUGUAUCUUAGAUAGUCAACUCGAGGAUCUGCUUAAGAUAUUUGUCCCACAUAGUUUGUAGUACAGGACUGGAUAUUCUAAUGCAUGGAGUUGCUGUUGUGUAGUGUUAUCGUGUCUAGCUUUGUAGCAUAACUACCUAACUUGUUAGCAUUCGUUAGCUAAAUGAUUGUUGGUAUCGGUAGUAUAGCUAACUCGGCUUACUCCCAAGACUGGAUUCAUCCUUUCCGACCUGGAACUCAUGGACAUUAUCAGAGACAGUGCUACGUGAGCGACCGGUUGGAUGGUACGACAGAGCCAUCGAACCUUCCCGCUACUGGUUGCACCUGGACCUGGGGGCCUGUCACUACUUCGCCAUUGGAUGGCUUUUAGGACCCUUUUGCUAUUUGGUUUGGACACACGGAGGAGGUAACGCUUCAGUGUCUGGAGUACGAACUACAAACGGCCCCUGUCUGUUUCCUGGUGGUGUCUGGGAGCCCAGGUCUAUAAGGCACCAGGAUCAUUUUCCCUUUGUUGCUGUUGUCACUAGCAUGGAGCCAGCUAAUUCAUCUUGCUAAUGGCAGGUACAGAGAUGGAUGUAGGCCAGGCGCUGCAGCCUGGUGAGACUCCCCUGUGUGCAGCUCAGAACACCUGUCCCGCUGUGCGUCGGCUACCCCAAUCUUUACCAGGCCAAGGAGGAGCACCAUCUCUCUCCAUAACACUUUCUCCUACCCAAUGUCUAGCGGGACCCUGAAGAAGCUGGAUGUGGAGGAGCCUAGGGACCGGUGUUCGCUGGGAGAUCUGCCCCCCAAAACUGCAUUUCCUAACCAGAAAUCAAAUUACAAGCUGCUGAUGUGGAGGAAAACUGACUAUUAAUAUUUUAGUAUGGAUAAUGCAUGCCAGACAUUGCCACCUCUGAGUAUUCAGAAAUGAAUGGAAAAAGAAAAAAAGACCGUGACGCACCAACAAGUGCCUGUCUGUGCUGCUUCUACCACACCACUACUAUCUAACAAAGCCACCACUGAAUGAGGCAGCAAAAUCUAAGCAAACUAAUGAUGCAAACUUGGAAUCAAUAGUCAGGCCACAUGUGCUGCUGCUGACAAACCAUGAGUACUGUAAUACCAGGUACAGUAACUCUAGAUUUCAUGACUUAGAAUUGCUCAGUGAAACAAUGGAACAAUUAAGUGCUUCUUUAUGGAUUGAAGAAAUGCUCAUGCUUCUAAAGCUAAAGAAGUCAUUUUAAAAGCCACUGCACUGGUCAAAGCAUGACUUGUUACACAGAUGAAAACAAAAAAUGUUUUAUUAGCUCGUGAGAAGUGUUUGUUUUCACAGGACAGCAACAAUAACUCAUUUCACUGGCUAUUAACCUAACACAAUAAGAGGGUUGUCUUUAAUUAUUAUUUUGUUAUUUCUUAUAAUAUCAAGAAUCUACACUGAAUGGCCACUUUAUUAGGUACAGCACACCUGUACUGCUAUCACCUGCCUUCUAAAAGGCACUGAGAUGUUUGUAAUAUGCUGUCACUUCAUGGAUCUAAAUGCAAAGGACAAAUAAUUAGAUAAACUCCUUUAUGUAAUGUAGUCUAAUACAAAAUCACAUUUAACUAUGAAAAGCAUAUAAUUGAAUUUACACAUUCCUGGCAAUGUCACUGAUAACCGAACAUUACAAAGUUAGGCUUCAUGAGCUGUUAAAUUGACUUGCAAUAUAUUGUACAGGUGUAGCUGCAACCACUGAGUGCAUAUGGCAUUACAUAAUGUGUCAGUCUUGAUGUACAGUUAUUUUGAUUUUAUAAAUUCCUUUUAGAUUGUCUGUUAUCAUCAGUCUUUUUCAUACAGGGAACAAAUCAUUACAGGUGACAAGAAAUAGGCUUCGAAAAUUCAGCACCCAGGACCUUUAUUUUGUUUCGGUGAUGGCCUGUCCAACAGAAAGCAUUAUCAUGAAUGCUAAUGUUAUCUCAGGUUCUGCACCUACUGCUAAUGCACUGCAUUUGUAGGUAUUUACUAUUGUAUAUAGCCCCCUCUGCAUCUCGUAUCACCCUCCUGCUUCUUCUCAUCUCCAGCUUUCUAACCUCCAUCUUCCCUGCCCCUCCGCCACCCGUGCAUCCAUCAGAGCGCUGUCAUGGUAGAGGGGCUUUCAAUGCUCCUUCCUGAUGCGGCCAUCAAGGCCUUCCAUCUAACACAAGCCGACACAUCAUAAUAACAGUAAGAGGCCUUUCCUGUCCAGUGUCAUGCUUGGAGAGAUUAGUUCCCCUCCACAAAACCCAGAUAAUUUGCUUUUGCUGAAACACAUUUGUAGAUCAUAUUCUUUCAGGUUAACUAGUUCAUGAGAGGAGAGGAGACACUUGCUGCACAGUGUUUGUUCAGCUUUUGUUACAUGUACCUGGUGUG